UUAUCGCCGUCUUCAUCACAGUUUCUAGUUUCUGUUGCUCAUUCUCCAUGGAGUAUCAAACCAAUUUAUGGAUACACAUAGCUGGACUCACAAGAACAUUUGGGCAUUAUGUGUGAGAUCAUACUGUUUCUGAUAUUGAUGCAUGAAGGUGCAUAACUUGUUGAGCAACACAAGGCAAAUAUGAUAUUACUCUUGGUGUUUCCCUUGGUUCAGCAACCCAGAUCUCCAUGUUUGUUGUUCCAUUAUGUGUUAUGGUGGCUUGGAUAAUGGGAAUCAAGAUGGAUCUUGAUCUUAAUCUGUUAGAAACUGGCUCAUUGAUCAUGGCAAUACUAGUAAUAGC